AGCAUUUAUGUGUGGUUUUUGGUGAAUGAAUGAACAAAGACUUAAAGAUAUGUACAAAAAAAUCCUCUUUUGCAACUUGGAACUCAUUAGUAAGUAUGAGUUUUGAUAUGUAUCAGAAGGGAUAUG
rnacentral:snoRNA from 1 species